GACGAACGCUGGCGGCGUGCUUAACACAUGCAAGUCGAACGAAGUGGCGAACGGGUGAGUAACGCGUAAUCAACCUGCCCUUCAGAGGGGGACAACAGUUGGAAACGACUGCUAAUACCGCAUACUGAAGGAGGGGAUUGCGUCUGAUUAGCUAGUUGGAGGGGUAACGGCCCACCAAGGCGAUGAUCAGUAGCUCGUCUGAGAGAAGGAACGGCCCAAUUGGGACUGAGACACGGCCCAGACUCCGACGGGAGUCAGCAGUGGGGAAUCUUCCGCAAUGGACGAAAGUCUGACGGAGCAAUGCCGCGUGAUUGAUGACGGCCGUCGGGUGUUAAAGCUCUGUUAAUCGGGACGCGAUACCGGAAUAGAAAGCCACGGCUAACUACGUGCCAGCCGCCGCGGUAAUAC
rnacentral:rRNA from 1 species